rnacentral:rRNA from 1 species
UGGGGAAUAUUGGACAAUGGGCGCAAGCCUGAUCCAGCAAUGCCGCGUGGGUGAAGAAGGUCUUCGGAUCGUAAAGCCCUUUCGACAGGGACGAUGAUGACGGUACCUGUAGAAGAAGCCCCGGCUAACUACGUGCCAGCAGCCGCGGUAAUACGUAGGGGGCAAGCGUUGUCCGGAUUUACUGGGUGUAAAGGGCGCGCAGGCGGGAUAAAAAGUCAGUGGUGAAAUCCUACAGCUUAACUGUAGAACUGCCUUUGAUACUUUUAUUCUUGAGUUCGGGAGAGAGAGACGGAAUUCCAGGUGUAGUGGUGAAAUACGUAGAUAUCUGGAAGAACACCAGUUGCGAAGGCGGUCUCUUGGUCCGACACUGACGCUGAGGCGCGAAAGCGUGGGGAGCAAACA